rnacentral:rRNA from 1 species
CACGUAGGGUGCGAGCGUUGUCCGGAAUUAUUGGGCGUAAAGAGCUCGUAGGCGGUGUGUCGCGUCGGCCGUGAAAACCUGCAGCUUAACUGUGGGCGUGCGGUCGAUACGGGCAUCACUGGAGUUCGGCAGGGGAGACUGGAAUUCCUAGUGUAGCGGUGAAAUGCGCAGAUAUCAGGAGGAACACCGGUGGCGAAGGCGGGUCUCUGGGCCGAUACUGACGCUGGGGAGCGAAAGCGUGGGGAGCGAACAGG